AGUGAACGCUGGCGGUAGGCCUAACACAUGCAAGUCGAACGGCAGCACAGUAAGAGCUUGCUCUUACGGGUGGCGAGUGGCGGACGGGUGAGGAAUACAUCGGAAUCUACUUUUUCGUGGGGGAUAACGUAGGGAAACUUACGCUAAUACCGCAUACGACCUACGGGUGAAAGCAGGGGAUCUUCGGACCUUGCGCGAUUGAAUGAGCCGAUGUCGGAUUAGCUAGUUGGCGGGGUAAAGGCCCACCAAGGCGACGAUCCGUAGCUGGUCUGAGAGGAUGAUCAGCCGCACUGGAACUGAGACACGGUCCAGACUCCUACGGGAGGCAGCAGUGGGGAAUAUUGGACAAUGGGCGCAAGCCUGAUCCAGCCAUACCGCGUGGGUGAAGAAGGCCUUCGGGUUGUAAAGCCCUUUUGUUGGGAAAGAAAAGCAGCAGGUUAAUACCCCGCUGUUCCGACGGUACCCAAAGAAUAAGCACCGGCUAACUUCGUG
rnacentral:rRNA from 1 species